GUCUCGGUAGCUUUGUUGGUUAAACACUCGUCUAGCAUACAAGAGUCCUGGGUUCGAAUCUCAGUUGAGCACG
rnacentral:tRNA from 1 species